rnacentral:piRNA from 1 species
UGGGACAGUCCUUUGCCUUUUACUGAUUCA